rnacentral:lncRNA from 1 species
GGAGUUCGAUCCACCUCCACAGAACCAUCUAAAGAAACAACGUACAGUACCUGGAAAAUCGUCAAGGCGGCGCAGCUCCUGAUCGCCAACGACGUUCAAGGCAUCCAGGUGUGGUUGUCCUCCCACUCACUCCCUUCCCCAUCGUUGCUACACUUUGCUCGUCCGCGGGGCCAUGGGGCCCCUCGCGCCUGCCGGCCUGCAUCUGGAGCUCUCCGCUUGUUGCCGCUGCGGGCUAGGUGUUUGAUGAAAUGCCCAUGCAAGCUGACUGUUGUGUUUGCAAUUGGCUGUUACAGUUUUGCAUGUAUUCCUGGUUGAAUAUUAUCUAGAAUAGAUGGAUGACUACAAUGAAGUUCUGUUACCAAAAUUAGAACUCUAUAAUUUCAGCCAAAUUAGAACUCUAUAAUGUGAAUGCCAAUAGAGUAUACAUCAAUAAGGUAUAGAUAAUGAGAUUUAGCUGCUCUGCGAGUGCUGAGUUAUAUGGACAGAGAAUCUUGUGAAGCGAACUGCCAAAAACUACUUCAGUCCUUCAUCGCCGAUGUCUUCCGGAAGCUCUCGGAGGAGGCUGCUGGGAGCCAGUCUCGUCUGCUCUGCUCCGCGCCAUGAGAGCUCGCAGAAGCACGCUAUCGAUCUCCAAGCGCACCUCCAUGUUCACGUCCUGUAUUCCUCUUAUUAGGUUGCCUGUUUUCCCCCCUCCGGUACUAGUUAGCAGUAGGGUGGUGUUUCCAGUGGUGCCUAGAGAUGGCAACGGGUACAUACCCGUUGGGUACAACGAACCCAUACCCAUGCCCGUGAGAAAAAUUUAUGCCCGUUAAAAAACCCAUACCCGUUAACGGGUACAAAUUUGUGCCCAUACCCAUACCCGCAUGGGUAACGGUACCCACGGGUUACCCGUGGGCAACAAGCAGUGUGCUUCAGCUGUAUAGUUCAAGCUCUUUUGCCUUAGUUUUAUAGAGUGUGAGCUGCUUCACGUGCACUUAACCCAGCGAGGUGGGACUAAUAUGCUUGGCACUAGCACUAGAGCACCAAGCCGGCCCACAAUAGGAUCCGAUGGUUCGGCCACCAAGCAAGAAGAGUUGGCUUGUUCUUUUUUUGUCUAUACAAUUGUUUAAUAUUUCACUUGUAUCCAAAAGUUUCUAAAUAUAUUUAGUGAGCAUAUAAAAUAAUUAACUAAUAAAAGAAUCACAAUAUGGAGCCGGGUAAAAUUUACCCACGGGUUCGCGGGUAUGGGUACAACAGGAACGUAUAUGUACCCGCAAACCCGUUGGGUAUGAGUUUUUACCCAUUAACAAACCCACGGGUACAAAGAGUGACCCAUGCCCGUGCCCUAAUAGAGCAAAAACCCAUCGGGUUUCGGGUCACGGGUACCCAUUGCCAUCUUUAGUGGUGCCUCAGCUUGUACUGUACUCCUAUCUGAUAGGACAAGUGGCAGUAGUGACUGAUGGUUUCUGUGUAGACUGUAGUUAGAUCCCUAGUUGACUUUUGGACCAUCAAUGGGACAGUAUGCUAUUUCUUUUGGACUAAUGAUUGUUGUGAAGAAAUGGAAUACAGGAUUGGUUAUUGCUCAGGUUGUGAAACGAUUGCUAUGUGCGUGGUAACUCAAACUUGUACAUGCAUUGCUUGUUCUCGAAUGUGAAAUUCCUGUAGUGCAUCAAAAUUGGAAAUCUUUGCACCGAUUUUGGUUGAUGUGUGGUUUGUGCCACUGCUGUGGAGCUUCAAACAUUGCAUGCAUAAUGCGUAAAUUGUGCAUAAGUGUUGCCUUUUAGUUUUCACUCUAAUCUAAUGGAAAGGAGUACAGAUCUGAGCAUGUAUGGCUUUAUUCAUUUCAGGUAACAUAUUACACAUCUGCAGCAUAUCCUGUUCUACCUCCAGAUGUGAUCAUUGCUCUUGCAAAUGACUGCAAUUCGUGUGCUCUCAAGCUAGCAGGAAAAUAUGUGGUAUGAAUCUCUGAUUGCAUGCAUCUCUACUACUGCAUCUCUCAUCGGAGUUUGUUCCUUUGGAUGUUGCUUUGAGCAGGAUAUGGCAAGUCUGAAAACAGAAACCAAGCAAUCCUUAAUUCUGCUCCUUGCAAUGCUAUCUGUUGACUCUAAAUGCAGCCAGAGUGUCGAAUCUGCGAUAUCCAAGACCCUUUCGC